CUUCCGGCGGGAAGAACCCGGGAGGCGGGGACUGGGGGGAGGUGUUCGUAAGCUAUUACCGGGUUGGGCUGGCCUGGUCGGGGAGGGGUGUGUGGGUGAACCCUGUGUCCCGUGCCCGCUGAGGAGAUGGAUGAGGAUGGGCUUCCUCUCAUGGGGUCAGGCAUAGACCUGACUAAGGUUUUCGUGUGUUUACGUGUUGCCUAUACCUGCGGAAGUUCGCUCUUGUGAAUCCAGAGCCCUUUCUCAAACUUUGCAGCAUCUGUCAUCUUUGAACACCCCACCCCCACAGGUGCCAGCUAUUCAACAGAAAAGAACGGUGGCAUUUCUAAACCAAUUUGUGGUGCACACUGUACAGUUCCUCAACCGCUUUUCUACAGUUUGUGAGGAGAAACUGGCAGACCUUUCUCUUCGAAUCCAGCAAAUUGAAACAACUCUCAAUAUUUUAGAUGCAAAGUUGUCAUCUAUCCCAGGCCUAGAUGAUGUCACAUUUGAAGUAUCUCCUAUAAGUGUCACUAGGAUCACAAAUGAAUCACAUUCUGAAACCACUUCAGAGCAAUUACAGCAGAACAGUUUCCAAGACUCCGGACCACAGGAAAGUGAAGUAACACCAGAAAAUACCUUAACUGUAGCCAAGGAUCCAAGAUACGCCAGAUAUCUCAAAAUGGUUCAAGUGGGUGUUCCAGUGAUGGCAAUAAGAAACAAAAUGAUUUCAGAGGGACUAGACCCAGAUCUUCUUGAGAGGCCAGAUGCUCCAGUGCCUGAUGGUGAAGGUGAAAAAAAUACAGAAGAAAGUUCUGAUAGCGAAUCUUCUUUUAGUGACUAAGCUUGAUUUUGGUAACAACUGCAUAUUCAUGUAUUGGUGCAUAUUUAUAUUCUAUUAAAAGAAGAGCCUUAACUUUAACUCUUAGUCACAAAAACAUCAAACGGCUACAUAUCCACCACCAAGCUUCUUCAAUGUUAAAAAAAUAAAAUAAAAUAAAGCAUUUAUAAUAACCUGGCAGUAUGUCUUAUUACCAAAAUAAAGGGCCUUAAACUGAAAAAUAGAAUAGCCUAAAAAAAGUACUAAGAUGGAGUAUUUCAAGGAAGAAGUAAGCUUCUAAAAUGAAGUCAAUAUGAGUUUACUGAUCAAAAAUAGAUUCAGUGCAAAAAAAGUGAAUUUGGCCAAGUGAAUUAUUCAAUUUUUGUGAAUAUUUUAGCAUGAAAAGUAUUAUGUACCUUUGUAUCUUAAGAGUUGUUAAAUUUCUGGCAGAAAGUGAUACUUGAUUGAAAUUUUCUUUGAUGACUGGAAGCUUACAUAUCAUAUUUAUCAUGAGUCUGGGACUUUUUUGUCUUUUUAGGGCCACACCCACGGCAUAUGGAGGUUCCCAGGCUAGCGGUCCAGUUGGAGCAGUAGCUUCCGGCCUACACCACAGCCAUAGAACGUGAGAUUUGAGCUGUGUCUGUGACCUACAGCUCAUGGCCAGAUCCUUAACCCUUUGAGCAAGGCUAGGGAUCAAACCUGUGUCCUCAUGGAUACCAGUCGGGUUCGUUAGCCGCUGAGCCAUGAAGGGAACACUGUGAGUUUGGAACUUAUUGGUGGUGUUUAUUAGCAUAUAGAGCUCUUUACAACUUGGCCAUUAGUUCAUAUACUGUCAAAGUCAGACGUUCUUAUUAUGCUUAUCAGAGUGAGCUGAUAGCAGAAGUUAACAUGGGGAUGUGAUGUGGGGCAAAAGAGGUGUGUGCUGCUGUCUACCCUUUGCCUGUUCACAAUUGUUAAGUCCCAUGUUAAGUCCACCAAGUCUUCAAGGUGAUGGCCAGUCACAGUCUAUAAAAGGCUGCACGGAGGAUCAGUGAGACAAGCUAUAGUUCCUGUUAUAAACUGAACCUAAGACCAAAAUUCAUAUCCGUAAUCCCCUUCCUCCACCAUCAUUUGAGACUUUCCUUGCCCUCUGUCAGAAAUUCAGGUCUAGUUUGGUUGCAUUGCAGAGAAACCCAGACCCUCAUCUCUUCAGAGAUCUGGGGCCUUGGUUACUUUGCCCCUUUUAGGCUCUGAUGAUCACAUUUGUCUAUUUGCUGUUCACAUCAGGUAUAGCAGCAUCAAGAAUCACCCAGUGCAUUGCCUGGGUUUCAGACACAUCUUGUUUCAUUUGAUAAUUAUAAUCCUAGCUCCUCAUGUUAACUAACAUAUUAACUCUUUUUUUUUUUUUUUUUUUUUUGACCUGUUAUCCCACAGACAUGAGCAACCCAAGACCAGUUGGCAGCAGUAGCUUCAGUUCUGUGGAAACCGUAUUCUACUUCCUGAUAGAAAUGUGUUAGCUUUUUCCUCUUCCCCUGUCUAGGAAACAGGACCUCCAAUCCAGCAGAGCCUCUGGUGGUAGGGAUGGGAAGCACAAUUCUGCAAGUAGGUCACUGAGAAUGGUGGUAAGAAAGGCCAAUCCUAUUUCUGUCCUCCUGACUCGUAGACCCAAGUAUUCUAGCAGCUGGGGAUCUGGCCUUUGGUAUAGUGCAUGUAUCACAUCCUAGAGAAUAGCACCCUAACUCUACAGGCUGUAAUCACUGAACUGGUAUCUAUAUAAACCCUGUAAUAGUCCAUUUCAUUGUUCUAUUUGAUUGACUGUUUCUGGAUAAUGCUGCAUAUGACAGGAUCAUGGAUCCAGUAAUUCAUGUUGCUCUUUAUUUGUUACAAAAUUAUCCCUUGAUCUGAAGUAGUGUAAUGCAGGAUACCAUGUUGGUAAUAGGCAUUCUGUAGACACUCAGAUGGUAAUAAGGAUGACAGGGGUGCUGAUGGAAGGGAAAACAAGCCUGGAUUAAGAGUACAAAUUAAUUGCAGUAGAAAAGAAUUGCUUCCUCCUUCAAGAUGGAAGGAAAUUAUUAUAACAACUUGCUCCCAAGUGGCUAAUUUCUCUUUUGAAGGAGUGCUACAAACUCACUAGUCUCUGCUAUUGACAGAUUACAUAUUCAAAAUGUCGUAGUUAUAGCAGCCUUAGCGAGAGAAAGCCUAAGCAGUUGGGUCCAUGCAUAGCCCUUAUCUCUGCCACCAUGAUUACUUCACUUGUGGGUGUGUGGUGUUAGCCUGGAGUGGUCAAGGGCAAGGCAGGCUGAAAUCUGCUGAAGGAAUCAUCCUGUCCACCUAAUCUUUGCCUUCUCAGGUGGGCUGUUAUUGAUACUCCAUGACACAAAAAUCUACACACUUUUCCAUAAUCAAAAGACUGUGUAUCUUUAACUCAGGCCACGUCUUUCUCCAUCAACAUGGAUGACCAAGUGCAGUGUGUGAAGCUAUGUCCAUCAGGAAGAUUUUUCCCUCACUACUAAUCCUUCCAGCCACCUCAGAGAGAGGAUAUAGUAUGGAAGCCAGCCAUUUUUGGCUCUCCCCAACAUAGCAAGCUGGUGCCUCCAUGAACAAGACCCACUUUUUCCUCCUCUGUCAUCUGGUGAGAUUCCUAGGAAUUGUGAUCACGCCAGGGAUUACCACCAUCCUGCUUAUCAUAGCAAUAGGACUGUGUCCAUGCCUUGCAACUGGAUGUCUUAAAUGGACAUGUAAACUACGGUACACAAUAAAUUUUAUGGCUGGUGUAUAAUCCUUCAGAAAUUGCCCUCUUUCUAAUAGAAAGAUUUUGGCCAUGGUGCAAGAUGGAUGGAAGAAAUGAAAAGCAAGAAGACAACUUGAGAGACCACUUCCAUGUUGCAGCUGAGAGAUGAUACCGAGCUAACCAGCACAAUGACAGAGUACAUAGAAAGAAGAGGCCUUUGUGACUUAUUGGCCGCCCCAGAGUUCCCUGGCCAGGGAUCAGAUCCGAAGUGUAGUUGCAGCAACGCUGGAUCGUUAAUUCACUGGGCCGGGGAUGGAACCUGCAACCCAGUGCUUCCAAGACACUGCCGAUCCUGUUGCACACAGCGGAACACCUGUUCCCCCAUCCUUGACAUGGAAAACAAAGAUGCCUCGGAUGGGAUGUCUGCCCCUCAACAUCUUAGAUUCUCCUGAUGAAGAUAUACACAACAGAUCUCUGAUGAAAUUCAUCAUGCAAAUUACCAAGAGGCAAGU